GACGAACGCUGGCGGCGUGCUUAACACAUGCAAGUCGAACGGUGAAGCGCCUUCCUUUUUGGUGGGUGUGGAUGAGUGGCGAACGGGUGAGUAACGCGUGAGUAACCUGCCCCCUUCUUCUGGACAACCGCAUGAAAGUGUGGCUAAUACGGGAUAUUCUGGGUCUGUCGCAUGAUGGGUCUGGGAAAGAUAUUGUUUCGGUGGGGGAUGGGCUCGCGGCCUAUCAGCUUGUUGGUGGGGUGAUGGCCUACCAAGGCGGUGACGGGUAGCCGGCCUGAGAGGGUGGACGGUCACACUGGGACUGAGACACGGCCCAGACUCCUACGGGAGGCAGCAGUGGGGAAUAUUGCACAAUGGGCGCAAGCCUGAUGCAGCGACGCCGCGUGAGGGAUGGAGGCCUUCGGGUUGUGAACCUCUUUCGCCAGUGAAGCAGGCCUGCCUCGUUUGUGGGUGGGUUGACGGUAGCUGGAUAAGAAGCGCCGGCUAACUACGUG
rnacentral:rRNA from 1 species